CCUACGGGGGGCAGCAGUGAGGAAUAUUGGUCAAUGGGCGAGAGCCUGAACCAGCCAAGUCGCGUGAGGGAGUACUGCCCUAUGGGUUGUAAACCUCUUUUGUCGGGGAGCAAAAGCCGGACGUGUCCGGCUGUGAGAGUACCCGAAGAAAAAGCAUCGGCUAACUCCGUGCCAGCAGCCGCGGUAAUACGGAGGAUGCGAGCGUUAUCCGGAUUUAUUGGGUUUAAAGGGUGCGCAGGCGGAUUUUUAAGUCAGCGGUAAAAUCGUGGGGCUCAACCCCAUCCAGCCGUUGAAACUGGGGAUCUAGAGUGUGCGAGAGGUAUGCGGAAUGCGUGGUGUAGCGGUGAAAUGCAUAGAUAUCACGCAGAACCCCGAUUGCGAAGGCAGCAUACCGGUGCAAAACUGACGCUCAGGCACGAAAGCGUGGGUAUCGAACAGGAUUAGAUACCCUGGUAGUC
rnacentral:rRNA from 1 species